GGAGAGGAAGAACAGAAAGAAAUGAUAUCUCUUUACGCCCAGCUUUAAGAAAUGCCUUAGGCCUCUCUUGAAGUUACCUAGCCUUAUGUAGAACUGCUGUAGAUUUAACAGUGGUGGGUAAAAAGGCCCCUAUUUUGUCACAUGGGAGAGGAUGUUAUACACUGAAGAGCCAGCUUUAGGCUGAAAACUGUGUAUUAUACAAACAGAGAAACUCUGAAGUAAAAUCCGUUGCAUUCUCAGUAAGCCAGUCUGUUCUUACUCCUACCAGGUGUUAACAUUUAGCCUUGAAAUGUGUCUGAGUGGCUCACAGUAUUAUUGCUGUAAUUUGCACAUUUAAUUCUGAAAGAAUUAUUAAUUGCAAAUUUCUCUCUCUCUAGGGCUGUCACUCCUGUCCUUCCAUGUAAUGAAUAUAGAGUAUUGAUAUAGCUUCAACUUUCCCUGCAUCUGGGAGAUUUCAAUAGGAUAUCCUGAACAACCCAGAGGAUGCUGAGGAGUAAUGGAUCCUUGAGAAGAGAAGCAGAAUUCUCAGGAACAGGAAUUCCCUAUGGAGAACACAGGGCAGAGUCUGCAGUGCUGCCACUUGCCUCACAGACAGCUUGAUAGACCUAAAAAUGGCAAAACUCAUUUGAAGGAUGGAUGUAGUCAGCCACCUACAGAUAAAUAAGAGUAUAAAACCCAGCCAAAAACAAGCCCAAAACUGUGUAUGUAGUUAGGUCCUUGACAUAUCAUCUUAAUACAUUAUGUGUCUUUGUAUGAAAAAUAGAUUGCUUCUUACAUUUUAACAAAGAAUCAAGGAAAGUAUCAUUUUUCCUCGAGGUAUUAAAAGCAGGGUCUAAUUAGUUAUUAGCUGUGGAUAUUUUAUACUCUCAUUUUUGGUCCCUUUUCCGGUGAUGGAUAGAUCUGGAUAUUUCCCAACCUGUAACAGGUUUCUGAAUGGUAUAUACAGUCAAUUUAAACCACUGGGUGGCUCUUGCACCUCACUCACCUAUUAUUUCUGUGAGUUUGGCAUAGUUGUUCCUCUGACAGAACUAUAAACUUUAAUAAGGCAGAGGAUAGCUAUUGCCGAAAUGGGAGUAUAAAGGAUUUUCUACAGUCUGUUUAUGACUUACCAGAUGAAAAUCCAAAGUUCAUCAAAUUUCAAGCAUAGGUUUUCUGUUCAUGCACAUCUUUGCAUAAAUCAUUUGUUCUUAUGAACACUACAGAAGCAGACUGAGUUUAGGGUACAACUAUAAUCAAAUUUCUCUCUGUUCUGUCUAAUCUGCUCUAGAAAACAAAAAACAAAACAAAACAAAACAAAACAAAACAAAACAAACAGUGGGCUCAAGAAGAAACAGAAAGUAACAGUCCUCCAUGCUGAUGAAUCAAAAUGUUCAACAUAGGUGAUGUAAAGGGCUUUCCUAAGGAUAAAAGAAGUCUUUACAAGAUAAUCUGAGAAUUCUAUAAGAUGUGUUGCUGGCAAGGACACCUGCUAAGAAGACUUUUCACUCCUUCCCAGCCUGGUACCACCGCGGGCGUUACUCUCCCCCAGUCUGACCAGCACUGCAUCUGGACUCAUCUGCAGAGAAGGAAGCAGUGUAACCUGUAGACAGUGAGAAGCUAUCUGCUGAAUGUUGUUUACCUUAGGCUAGAUAGACGCUCAUCAAAUGGAGUGAAAAGAGGAUGCCCAGCUGUACCUUGGACUUAAUCCUGUGUUAGGAGACAGACUGCCUUAGCUCACUGAAUUACUGGGUAUACUGCUGCUUAUAGAACUUGGUUAGAAACUUCUCAUAUAGAAUCUGCUUAGCUUAAGUAAGUUUGCUUAACAUAACUUCUGCCAACUGUGGACCACUUAACUUUCUCCUUUAUUAAGUAAAAAAGACCUCAGAAUCUCCAAGCUAGAAGAUAAGGGGAGCUGCAACCCUGGAGAUAAGUAAAGGAACAGAAUGGCACCUAACAAAGGAUGAGAAACAGAAGAAUGUUUUGUCUAUUGCCAAGAACUUAUUCUUCUCCAGCUGCAAGCACAAAAUAGCAACUGAAGAUCAGGACUUUGAUUGACAGCCUGCCUGAUGAAAAUGAAGAGAUUCAAUGAAGAACAAAGAGACCCCAGACUCUGAUUUUGCAAUUGGCCCAGAA